rnacentral:rRNA from 1 species
UCCGUAGGGUGCAAGCGUUGUCCGGAAUUAUUGGGCGUAAAGAGCUCGUAGGCGGUUUGUCGCGUCUGCUGUGAAAACUCGGGGCUUAACCCUGGGCCUGCAGUGGGUACGGGCAGACUAGAGUGCGGUAGGGGAGACUGGAAUUCCUGGUGUAGCGGUGAAAUGCGCAGAUAUCAGGAGGAACACCGGUGGCGAAGGCGGGUCUCUGGGCCGUAACUGACGCUGAGGAGCGAAAGCGUGGGGAGCGAACAGG